rnacentral:misc_RNA from 1 species
AACCAUAGAAACCUGCGGAGUACCUGCGGAGGGAUCAUUACAGAGUUGCAAAACUCCCUAAACCAUUGUGAACGUUACCUAAACCGUUGCUUCGGCGGGCGGCCCGGGUCCUUCCCGGCGCCCCUCGGCCCCCGCGGGCGCCCGCCGGAGGUAAACCAAACUAUUGCAUUGUAUGGCCUCUCUGAGUCUUCUGUACUGAAUAAGUCAAAACUUUCAACAAUGGAUCUCAGAUCGGAAGAG